rnacentral:lncRNA from 1 species
UUCAGCUAUAAAACAUUUAUAAUUUUUAUUUUUUCUUUUCACAGAAACCCCAAGAGAAUAAACAUGGAAUAGUCAAUUACUUAUUCAUUCAACACUAUGAUUGGCCACCUACUGUGUGCCGGGUGCCAUAGCAACACAGUGACAGGGAUUAAGGCAAUACAAUUGGGAGGGCUAUCCUGGGAGGAGGGCAGCCUGCCAGAAGAGCCAGAGGUCAGGACUGUGCCAAGUGGGGGUGAGGAUGACUGGGGAGAGGACAUCCCUCAGAGGGGUGGCUUGGAGCUGGAGGUAAAAGAAUGAGUAGGGGUAGACAGCACCCAGUCCUCAUCUGCUCAGCUGCAGAAGCCCCCUUGUGUUUGAAGAAACAUCUCUGCUGGUGGGAACUGGUUUAGGAAUUACUGCAGUACCCCCUUAUCUGAAGUUUCACUUUUUGCAGUAUCCCCCAGUCAACCAUAGCUUAAAAAAUAUAAGAUGGAAAACUCCAGAAAUAAGUAACUCAUAAGGUUUAAUUUCAUGCCACCCAGAGUAGUGUGAUGAAACCUUGUGCUAUCCCACUGUGUCCCACCCAGGAUGUGUGCCCUUUGUCCAGUGUAUCCACGAUGUAUAUGCUACCUUCCUGUUACCCAGAGAUCACUUGGUAGCUGGCUUGAUCACCUGAUGUAAUGCUGUGGAUCACAGUGCUUAUAUAGGGUUUGGUACUGUCCAUGGUUUCAGGGACUCACGGGGUGUCUUGAGACCCAAUCCCCUGCAGAUAAAGGAGUACUGUACCAAACAACAGGUCUUUCUGGCCUUCAGCUCUCUUGCUUAGGACAAAUUCAUUAACACACCCAGAGAGCCUGGGGUACCAUUAGCCCCCAGCUGAGUUUGGUGGGAACCCCCAAACCUAGACUCCAGUUUGGCUUGAGGCCUGUCUGCAUCAGAAGAGCUCAUUUCUGAUGGGGGUCUGUCUGGGGUGGGCUCCAUAGUAGAGUGUUGAGAACAAAUUGAAAACCAGAUCACCUGAUUCUGAAUUUGAAUUUGAAUGUGAGUGACCCUUUGGUAGAAGUUGUAAAGCCACCAAAGUCAGGGGUGACACUGUGCUGUGCUGGGGAAGAGGUGGGAAGCAGUG